rnacentral:pre_miRNA from 1 species
CUUGUACUCCCUCCGUCCGAAAAUACUUGCCAUUGAAAUGGAUGUAUCUAGAUGUAUUUUAGUUCUAGACACAUCCAUUUUGAUGACAAGUAAUUCCGGACGGAGGAAGUACUUG